GGGCAGGUGGCUCAGUGGUAGAGUGCUUGCCUUGCAUGCUCGAGGCCCUGGGUUCGAUUCCUCAGCCCCA
rnacentral:tRNA from 1 species